rnacentral:lncRNA from 1 species
UUGGCCAUUUGAUGAUUUGGGGUCAUCAUAUUAAAAAUUUCUCUUAACGCGUUUCUGAUUUUUUUUACCUACAAUGGUAAACCCGAUUUCAUUACCAAGGCAACAAAAUUACAGGGUCACAGUUCAAGUUCAUAAGCAAAAAAAAAGCAGCCAUUCCCCGAACAAUCAUAUAUUUCUGAUCACCCCCGCAAAAAAAAAAAACAAUAAAAGCUUCCACAGAGAAGGCAAGCCAUAAAUUCUAGGCUUAUGAUACACCCUUGGCCUAGUUCACAGCACUUGUUAAUGGAUUUCAGUUUGGUUCAGUGUACAGCCUGGUUGUUAGAAUUUUUCACCAGUUUGUGAUCUACUGAUCCUUUUCAUGCUCCAACUGACCAUUCUUCUUUGUCUGUUGUGAAUUUUCAGUGGCCAAAUCAUUUCCUUGGCCAUAUGGUUCAUAAACCACAAACCUUUGGCGGAGACAGGGCCUUGAGUUCUGGUGGAGAAAAUGCCGGUUGUGCAGUUACACCGGGCUAUCAGAAGCAACCUACCGUAAACUUCAUCCGUGUACAGUAAAAAGAGGCACCUCCGCUAGUAUAUAUAGCGUAAAACCAGCGGAGAUUAGUCGUGCGGUAUACUGAGAGAUGUGUUCCAUUAAUUAAUUUAUACCCUGAAUCGUGUAUCCUUGGUUUUAUAUUGGUUGCACAUUGUUGGAACUUGCUCUCUGCUGCAAGUGGGCCAACGGGGGUGAACAAUGGCGACAACAGGGUUACGUGCACGGGGGCAAUAGCUCUGUUGAUCU